rnacentral:lncRNA from 1 species
AUGAAGGCGUGGAAGGUAUUCAUGCAGCAUUCUCCCUCUUCCUCGUCCUCCUCCUACCCAAUUGAAACCCACUCCCAGUUGCCUGCCUUUGAUGGCUGGCGCUUGACGAUUAGGCUCCACAGCGAGUGCCUUGCCACUGCCGCGCGUGGGCGGUUGGGCGCGUCGCAACGGCAUUGAUUCGGGAAGAAGCUGGCUGUGAUUCCACGUCGGAUGUUAUUACUGCCCAUUCAUUGACGAGGGCAUGGGAGUCGUAUUUGUUGUGGCCCUAAUUACCGUGUGUGUGUGUGAGUUGUAAUAGCUUCCAGAACAGAAGCUUCUAGAAAAGAAAACAAAAAAAGAAAACACAAAAAACACUCUUUCUGGUCACAUGACAAUGUGGGUUCAUGACUAAAUUUUCCCCCUCACAUAUGCUGUUUGUAUUCCUCAACUUUGUGUAUUGAUUCUUGUGUUAUUAUAAUAAUGGUAAUAUGAGACCAGGAUUGGAGAUUAC